ACACAGAGACCCGUACUCCUGUACGCCAAGCCAAAGUGGCCUCUCUUGAAGGUCCUACAAGAGACCAGAGUAUUUCACCCCACUGCACACACACAGAGAGGCGUAGACGACGUGCCCUCUUCCAUCCCCAAUAAAUAACGAGCAAUUAAUUAGGAAAUGGGUAGAUGGGAAAGUUGGGUUUGCCCGAGAGUGGGAGAGAAGCCGCGAGCUUGGCGACCCAACCCCCGGGAAUGGGGGGGGGGGUCUCGGGGCUGUUUUCCUUGCCGCCUCCACCGCUGCCAGGAGGGCGCUCGGGUUGUCAGGGAAGCGGCCACCCUUCCCGGGCACCCCAGCAGCAGCAGCAGGAGGAGGUAGUGAUCCAUCAAAGACAAUGCUGACCUGGAAGAAAAGAGAAACUUAGUAUAGGAGAAGUGGGAAAAGAACCAGAGAGGAGCCAAGUCCAUUUCAAGUUCAUAUCUUCUAAUUAGUCAGCAUAUCUCCUGUUAUUCUGCAGAAAGCCGGCAGGGCAGGAAUGCUUGACAGUGCUCCGGCUUCAUUUUACUGAAACCAGCAACUUCUUGACUACUGGCUGUCCUGUUCUGGAACUUUUGAAAAUGGUAUAGUAGCCCAGGAAAUAACUGUCAGCACUGGAAAAUGAAGACCAGAAGGUUAUGUGGUGCUGUUGCCAAAAGGAUAUGGAGAGGUGAGGGGCUGAUUCAUGCAGUCUCUCUCCCAUCUUCUUGCCAAGACAGAUGCAACUCAAUCAUAGUGACCUAGUAAGUGUUAAAGAAGAAGAGACAAGUUUCAUUUGGGAGAUGACGACAUCCACACCCAUGCUUUUGGCGAGAGGAAUAUAGCAGGCUGAAUUUGGAACAACUUAUAUGGAAUACAUUUUCUGUUAUUCCCCCUCGUCUCCCCAGGCCAUAGUAUUUGAAUUAUUACUGAUGCCUUAGGUCAGGUUCAUACUUAAUAAGGAAGUGUGGUUUGAGUUUCAGGGCAUGCUGUUUUAUUUCCAUGUGCCUUUGUUCUUCGCUGUUGUUCUGUUCAUACAAACCCAUUUAAUGUCAUCCUUGUUUGUGAGAAAUCAUGGUUUGCUACUGACUACCCUGUUUCCCUGAAAAUAAGCCCUAGUAUGAUUUUUCAGGAUGCUCAUAAUAUAAGCCAUACCCCAAAAAUAAGCCCAGCUAAGAGAAAUGCCACCCUCCACCAUUGUGCAGCAAUCAGAAGAUGACAUGACUACAUUUGAAUAAAUGUAGAUUGUUGCACA
rnacentral:lncRNA from 1 species